UAGCCUUGACAUACUACAGAAUUUGACAGAGAUGUUGAAGUGCCUUCGGGAGCUGUAAUACAGGUGCUGCACGGCUGUCGUCAGCUCGUGUCGUGAGAUGUUGGGUUAAGUCCCGCAACGAGCGCAACCCUCGUCCUUAGUUACUAACGGUUUGGCCGAGGACUCUAAGGAGACUGCCUUCGUAAGGAGGAGGAAGGUGAGGACGACGUCAAGUCAUCAUGGCCCUUACGGCUAGGGCAACACACGUGCUACAAUGGUUAGGACAAUGAGAAGCGAUACCGCGAGGUGGAGCAAAUCUAUAAACCUAAUCUCAGUUCGGAUAGCAGUCUGCAACUCGACUGCUUGAAGCUGGAAUCACUAGUAAUCGUAGAUCAGCUAUGCUACGGUGAAUACGUUCCCGGGUCU
rnacentral:rRNA from 1 species